GACGUAGGGUCCAAGCGUUGUCCGGAUUUACUGGGCGUAAAGAGCGCGUAGGCGGCUCGUUAAGUGUGAAGUGAAAUCUCCAGGGCUCAACCCGGAAACUGCUUUACAUACUGGCGAGCUGGAGUGAUGAAGAGGUUUGUGGAAUUCCUGGUGUAGCGGUGAAAUGCGUUGAUAUCAGGAGGAACACCCAUGGCGAAGGCAGCAAACUGGUCAUCAACUGACGCUGAGACGCGAAAGCGUGGGUAGCAAACAGG
rnacentral:rRNA from 1 species